rnacentral:rRNA from 1 species
GACGAACGCUGGCGGCGUGCCUAAUACAUGCAAGUCGAACGCAGUGGGGACGGGUGAGUAACACGUGGGUAACCUCCCCAUCAGAGGGGAUAACACUUGGAAACAGGUGCUAAACCGAUAUUGAUGGAUGGACCCGCGGUGCAUUAGCUAGUUGGUGAGGUAACGGCUCACCAAGCCCACGAUGCAUAGCCGACCGGAGGGGGUGAUGGGCAAAACGGGGACGUAGACACGGCCCAGCCUCCUACGUGAGGCAGCAGUAGGGAAUCUCCGGCAAUGGACGAAAGUCUGACCGACAAAGGCCGCGUGGUUGAAGAAGGUUUUCGGAGCGUAAAACUCUGUUUUUAGAGAAGCGGUAUCUAACCAGAAAGCCACGGCUAACUACGUGCCAGCAGCCGCGGUAAUAC